UAAUACGUAAGUGGCGAGCGUUAUCCGGAAUUACUGGGCGUAAAGCGUUCGUAGGCGGUGCAGUAAGUUGGGUUUGAAAGCCCGGGGCUCAACUCCGGACCCGGAUCCAAAACUACUGUACUUGAGCAUAUCAGGGGGCAGCGGAAUUCCCGGUGUAGCGGUAAUAUGCGUAGAUAUCGGGAGGAACACCAGUGGCGAAGGCGGCUGCCUGGGGUAUUGCUGACGCUGAGGAACGAAGGCCAGGGGAGCGAACGGGAUUAGAUACCCC
rnacentral:rRNA from 1 species